CUACUGCAGAACCUGAAGCAGACCUUGAUGCAGCAGCAAAGCCUUGACAGCAGAGCUUGAACAGUAGCAGCAAUUUAGUAUUAAUUUUAGUGCAGUUGCAAUAGCAGUAACAGUAUUAGUUUUUCAAUUCAGUUUUAGUUUCUGUGUUAGGUUUAUUUUGUACUUUGUUUAUUUUAAUCUUCAAACUUUUAUUUUAUUUUCUGCUAUGGACAUAGUUAUUCUGUGAAUGCUUUUUAGUUUAAUCCUUUAUUUAAAUGUUAGAUUUUAUUUCUUUACACUUUUUCAUUUUCUUGCACAUUAUUUUUGCACUUUAUCUUUUUCUUCAAUCCUAAUUUUGUUGACAUUGAUGAGUUGCACAAUUUACUUUGAGCCGCAUAUGUUUCACAUCAUUUUGAGGUAACAGCUUACCCUUCUACUAUUUAUGUUUAUGGUAUGCUACCGAUGCUUAUAGUUUGUUGCCAAUGCUUAUGCUGUUGUUUAUCCUACGCAACAGGUUAAGCAACAUCUUAAGCAGUGUAAAUUCAUACAUUUGGGAUACUUUUUCACAUUUUUCUCUCUAAAGCUUCAUUGUUAAUAUCAUUUUGAGCUAAUUUUGAAAUACUUGAGCUUAUAUUGAUUUAAUCCCCAAUUGUAUAUAUUUCAUUAAUUGAUUAGUUCACACAAUUUUGCCCAUCUUUGCAUUCAUUUUAGACAUUGAGGACAAUGUUUCAUUUGAGUUUGGGGGUGAGGGCAAAAUUUUUGCAAAAUUUUUAAAAUUUUCAUUCAUUCAUUUAUUGCAUUUCAUUCAUUCAUAUAUAGAUAAUCCAUACACUUAUACAUAUACCACACACAUGUCUAUACUCAUACACAUACAUUUGCAUAUAGUUUUCAUAUAUAUUACACUUAGUUUUAAUUUGAUUUAUGCAUUCAUUUUAGGAUCAUGCAUAUCAUAAAAAUAAAUUUUUACCUUAUCCUUAAAGGAUUGAGAGUUGCUUUGAAGAGCAAUUAAGCUUACUUUUAGAAGGGUUUGAUGGAUUGAAAGUUCUAGAUAGGUGCAAAGUUAUUAGAUUCUUGCUUUAGUUUAUAUCUUCUUAGCCAAGGGCCACCCAAUCAAUUGCAUUGACUUUGAGUGCUUAGAGAAAACUCUAGGGUGAGAAGUAGCUAAUUGAUGUCUCACCAAUCCUAGAACA
rnacentral:misc_RNA from 1 species